UACGGGGGGGGCAAGCGUUGUUCGGAAUUACUGGGCGUAAAGGGCUCGUAGGUGGCCAACUAAGUCAGACGUGAAAUCCCUCGGCUUAACCGGGGAACUGCGUCUGAUACUGGAUGGCUAGAGAUUGGGAGAGGGAUGCGGAAUUCCAGGUGUAGCGGUGAAAUGCGUAGAUAUCUGGAGGAACACCGGUGGCGAAGGCGGCAUCCUGGACCAACACUGACGCUGAGGAGCGAAAGCGUGGGGAGCAAACAGGG
rnacentral:rRNA from 1 species